rnacentral:lncRNA from 1 species
AAAUUGCUCUCAUGUUGAUAAAAUACUUAAUAGAUUGGGCAAAAGAUCUUAAAUGAACAAGCUUUCAUACUUAUUAUUGAAGAGAUGUUAGAUUUCCAUUCGUGCUUUCCUUGAAUAUCAUUUGUGGUACUUCUUGAAUUAACCUAAGAAAGAUUCCACCUACACUUAAUUAGAAAACUAUCUGUGGUAUCAAAUUAGAAAACUUCUUGAAAUCACAUUCGAUGUGUUCUGCUCUGAAAUUAUCUUAAUUGGCUCUGAUCUAUGCUUCUUAAUCUGAUUCUAACAUUAUUGCCUUGAUUUAUAUGAUUCAUAUCCUUGCAAUAAUUUGACAUGCAAAUCAGAGUACAAUAAGGAAAAGAAAUAUUUGAGUAUUCUUAUCUUUGUGCUU